AUUGAACGCUGGCGGCAUGCCUUACACAUGCAAGUCGAACGGCAGCACGGGAGCAAUCCUGGUGGCGAGUGGCGAACGGGUGAGUAAUAUAUCGGAACGUGCCCGGUCGUGGGGAUAACGUAGCGAAAGCUACGCUAAUACCGCAUACGAUCUACGGAUGAAAGCGGGGGAUCGCAAGACCUCGCGCGAUUGGAGCGGCCGAUAUCAGAUUAGGUAGUUGGUGAGGUAAAGGCUCACCAAGCCGACGAUCUGUAGCUGGUCUGAGAGGACGACCAGCCACACUGGGACUGAGACACGGCCCAGACUCCUACGGGAGGCAGCAGUGGGGAAUUUUGGGACAAUGGGCGCAAGCCUGAUCCAGCAAUGCCGCGUGCAGGAUGAAGGCCUUCGGGUUGU
rnacentral:rRNA from 1 species